rfam:Schistosoma mansoni, Puerto Rico, WGS project CABG01000000 data, contig: 0233
AGCUUUUUGAAUCCAUGUAAAGAUUCGUCAAACACCAAUCCAUUAGGGCUGAUCAGACUUCCAAGAUAAGUGGAGUU